GCUGUAAUGGCUGCCCCCAGCUGGCGCGGGGCUAGGCUUGUUCAAUCGGUGUUAAGAGUCUGGCAGGUGGGCCCUCAUGUCGCGAGGGAGCGGGUGAUCCCUUUUUCCUCACUCUUAGGCUUCCAACGGAGGUGCGUGUCCUGCGUCGCGGGGUCCGCUUUCUCUGGUCCCCGCUUGGCCUCGGCUUCUCGCAGUAAUGGCCAGGGCUCUGCCCUGGACCACUUCCUCGGAUUCUCUCAGCCCGACAGUUCGGUGACUCCUUGCGUCCCCGCGGUGUCCAUGAACAGAGAUGAGCAGAAUGUCCUCUUGGUCCAUCACCCUGAUAUGCCUGAGAAUUCCCGGGUCCUACGAGUGGUCCUCCUGGGAGCCCCGAAUGCAGGGAAGUCAACACUCUCCAACCAGCUACUGGGCCGAAAGGUGUUCCCUGUUUCCAGGAAGGUGCAUACCACUCGCUGCCAAGCUCUGGGGGUCAUCACAGAGAAGGAGACCCAGGUGGCAUCACCUGGAGCUCUCUUUGUUGGAAGAUCCAUGGAAGAGCAUGGAAUCUGCUGAUCUUGUUGUGGUUCUUGUGGAUGUCUC
rnacentral:sRNA from 1 species